rnacentral:rRNA from 1 species
AGUGAACGCUGGCGGCAGGCCUAACACAUGCAAGUCGAACGGCCGCACAGUAAGCGCUUGCUCUUACGGGUGGCGAGUGGCGGACGGGUGAGGCAUACAUCGGAAUCUUCUUUUUCGUGGGUGAUAUCGGAGGGCCACUUACGCUAAUACCGCAUACUACCAACGGGUGAAAGCAGGAGUUCAUCGGACUUUGCCCGUCUUUAUGAGCCGAUGUCGCAUUACCUAGUUGGCGUGGUAAAGGCCCACCAAGGCGACGAUCCGUAGCUGGUCCGAGAGGAUGAUCGGCCACACUGGAACUGAGACACGGUCCAGACUCCUACGGGAGGCAGCAGUGGGGAAUAUUGGACAAUGGGCGCAAGCCUGAUCCAGCCAUGCCGCGUGGGUGAAGAAGGCCUUCGGGUUGUAAAGCCCUUUUGUUGGGGAAGAAAAGCAGCGGGAGAAUACGCCGCUGUUCUGACGGUACCCAAAGAGAAAGCACCGGCUAACUUCGUG